UACGUAGGGUGCGAGCGUUGUCCGGAAUCACUGGGCGUAAAGGGCGCGUAGGCGGCGCGGCAAGUCCAUGGUGAAAGCUCGUGGCUCAACUGCAAGUCGGCCAAGGAUACUGCUGCGCUCGAGCACUGUAGAGGCAGGUGGAAUUCCGGGUGUAGCGGUGGAAUGCGUAGAGAUCCGGAAGAACACCGGUGGCGAAGGCGGCCUGCUGGGCAGUAGCUGACGCUGAGGCGCGACAGCGUGGGGAGCAAACAGG
rnacentral:rRNA from 1 species